CUCUCGGUAGCCAAGUUGGUUUAAGGCGCAAGACUGUAAAUCUUGAGAUCGGGCGUUCGACUCGCCCCCGGGAGA
rnacentral:ncRNA from 13 species